rnacentral:rRNA from 1 species
UGGGGAAUAUUGCACAAUGGAGGGAACUCUGAUGCAGCGACGCCGCGUGAACGAAGAAGGCUUUCGAGUCGUAAAGUUCUUUUAUAUGGGAAGAUAAUGACGGUACCAUAAGAAAAAGACCCGGCUAACUACGUGCCAGCAGCCGCGGUAAUACGUAGGGGGCUAGCGUUGUCCGGAAUCACUGGGUGUAAAGGGUUCGCAGGCGGAAAUGCAAGUCAGGUGUAAAAGGCAGUAGCUUAACUACUGUAAGCAUUUGAAACUGCAUAUCUUGAGAAGAGUAGAGGUAAGUGGAAUUUUUAGUGUAGCGGUGAAAUGCGUAGAUAUUAAAAAGAAUACCGGUGGCGAAGGCGACUUACUGGGCUCAUUCUGACGCUGAGGAACGAAAGCGUGGGUAGCAAACAGG